rnacentral:rRNA from 1 species
GACAGAGGAUGCAAGUGUUAUCCGGACUUAUUGGGCGUAAAGCGUUUGCAGGUGGAAUUUUCAGUCCUUUGUAAAAUCUUUAGGCUCAACUUAAAGCUAGCAUAGGAUACUAUUUUUCUGGGGCAUGGUUCAGGUUAAGGGAAUUUCCAGUGAAGCGAUGAAAUGCAGAGAUAUUGGAAGGAACACCGUUAGCGAAGGCACUUUGCUAGACUAUAGCCGACACUGAGGAACGAAAGCUAAGGGAGCAAACGGG